GACGAACGCUGGCGGCGUGCUUAACACAUGCAAGUCGAACGGAAAGGCCCUGCUUUUGUGGGGUGCUCGAGUGGCGAACGGGUGAGUAACACGUGAGUAACCUGCCCUUGACUUUGGGAUAACUUCAGGAAACUGGGGCUAAUACCGGAUAGGAGCUCCUGCUGCAUGGUGGGGGUUGGAAAGUUUCGGCGGUUGGGGAUGGACUCGCGGCUUAUCAGCUUGUUGGUGGGGUAGUGGCUUACCAAGGCUUUGACGGGUAGCCGGCCUGAGAGGGUGACCGGCCACAUUGGGCCUGGGAUACGGCCCAGACUCCUACGGGAGGCAGCAGUGGGGAAUAUUGCGCAAUGGGCGGAAGCCGGAUGCAGCAACGCCGCGUGCGGGAUGACGGCCUUCGGGUUGUAAACCGCUUUCGCCUGUGACGAAGCGUGAGUGACGGUAAUGGGUAAAGAAGCACCGGCUAACUACGU
rnacentral:rRNA from 1 species